CUGGCUGUAGAUUCUGGGGGUUUCCCUGCGACCAAAGUUGCUGCGGCUGACUAUUACACGCCGCCGGCUGCUGGAUAAGCGGCAGAGGAUUUUGCUGCUGAAGCAGCGACUGCUGCUGCUGGUACGGUGUCUGUACUGGCGGCUGCUGAUAUGAAGUCUGUACUGGAGGCGGCUGGAUGCUAGCCUCUACUACUCUGGGAGCUGCUGGACCGACGGGUACAUAAUUUGGAGCUGGAAUUAAUGGUGGUGGCUGCUGAUAAGUCGCCGGGCCAAGCGGCGUCGCUGGUUGACCAUACCCCGAUGGCUGUGCCUCCAAAGAGGUUCUGAAAGGCUGUGUAGUCGGCAUUCCUUGGCCGAUAGGGGACAUCUCGGCAGGCACGGGAGCCGCAUUACUCAUCGACAGCGACAAAAACAGCUGCUUCAUGUCAUCUAAUACUUUUUGUAUUUUGUUGUCGACCUCCUUCAUAAAUUGAACUUGGCGCAAACCCACCGAAGCAUCCACUAUAUUCUGGAUGUCAUUCACUUGGAUGGAAUUUUCCAUCCCUUGGCCUGCCAUACUACCUCGAACUUCCCUCCUAAUGUUCUGCGCUGUUUCGCUUAGGAAUGUCGGUGACACUACUGUCUGAUUUGCACUCUCAGAACUGAUGGACAGAUCGUGGGUGCUGUGUGUAGUUGUAGUCGUUGUUGUACUGGCUGUGGGAUGGGUAAACGUAGCGAUAGAUGCGGUAGGGGUAUCGGUACUACAAGUUACAUUACUCGCUGUUGCCAUAGCGUUGGUUUGUUGUUCUAAACGACCCGCGCGACGGGUUAAAACCAUUUAAAACAAUUAAUACAAAAUUCACACUUAUUUAAAAAAACAAGGUGUGUAAAUAUAUAUAAAUACGAAAUUCGUAGCACAGAAUCUUUUGCAGCGUAAGUUCCAAAAGAAGAUAUAAACUAAAAGAUUUUCGAUCUUUCAAACAAAAAACCAAAAGAAAACAAACUCAAAAUUCAAAACUUAAAUAACUUGUAUGCGGGCGGCAUUUUCGGGUAAAUAAAAGUUUGCAGGAGAUGCAGAGUACGACUAACAACAACAACAAAACAAAAGGAUGUACAAGAACUAAUUGUCUUCCUACAGUACGGACUAACGAGGUGCAGCUUGAUCAAGGUUACGUUCCUCUGGUAUUCAAGGACUACCUUCCUAGACUUCCUGUAGAACUAAAACGUUCCUCAACAUGGACAGCUGGCAGGACUAACGCAAAUGGACUAUUGAGGAGAGCUGGUUUGCAGGUGUGGUUUUCUGUCCGUCCGUUUUAUAGUCUGUUCGGGUAUUUCA